rnacentral:rRNA from 1 species
UCGAGCGAAGCACUUUGCUUAGAUUCUUCGGAUGAAGAGGAUUGUGACUGAGCGGCGGACGGGUGAGUAACGCGUGGGUAACCUGCCUCAUACAGGGGGAUAACAGUUAGAAAUGACUGCUAAUACCGCAUAAGACCACAGCACCGCAUGGUGCGGGGGUAAAAACUCCGGUGGUAUGAGAUGGACCCGCGUCUGAUUAGCUAGUUGGUAAGGUAACGGCUUACCAAGGCGACGAUCAGUAGCCGACCUGAGAGGGUGACCGGCCACAUUGGGACUGAGACACGGCCCAAACUCCUACGGGAGGCAGCAGUGGGGAAUAUUGCACAAUGGGGGAAACCCUGAUGCAGCGACGCCGCGUGAGCGAAGAAGUAUUUCGGUAUGUAAAGCUCUAUCAGCAGGGAAGAAAAUGACGGUACCUGACUAAGAAGCACCGGCUAAAUACGUGCCAGCAGCCGCGGUAAUACGUAUGGUGCAAGCGUUAUCCGGAUUUACUGGGUGUAAAGGGAGCGUAGACGGAUGGGCAAGUCUGAUGUGAAAACCCGGGGCUCAACCCCGGGACUGCAUUGGAAACUGUUCAUCUAGAGUGCUGGAGAGGUAAGUGGAAUUCCUAGUGUAGCGGUGAAAUGCGUAGAUAUUAGGAGGAACA